UCAACGGUAGUUGUUCAAGCCAAUCAUCUUUCAAUAUCACUUUAGUAAACGUGUUUGAAGUUAACGCUAUGCAACAGGUGAAAUCCAAAGAAUCUGAAAAACAAGUGAAGGAGUGGAUUGAGUUUACCUACACAUACAGCUAAAUCCGAGACGUGGGACUCUGACUGUGUAAAGCACCCCAUCAUAUAAAGCGGACCUGGCCCCAUGUGACAGUGACCCAACUGUGAAAGUGUGACCUUGGGUGUUAUCAGGAUCCUGGAUGUGUCCAGCUGCAUGCAUGGCCCCUGGCCUGAUCCCAUGAUUAAAGGUCAUCCGGCUUAGGGCGGCUCAUGAGGGAUGGAGGAUGCCUGCAGAGAGGAGUCCAAGGGAGAGGAAAAUCCACCACUACCACCCCCUUCCAUCAGCUCUUUCCUCCCCACCACGCCUGGCUUGCUUCCAGGCUCUAACGCAAGGAACUCGGGUGCAUGCAUGGAGAGUGGAUUUCUCAAGGAAGGCCUGAUAGACCUUUAAGUCUUCCUGUUUUAAGUUCCUGCUCUUCACAUAAAUGGUAGCCACAAAGCCCCUGGUCCUGACCCAGUUGUUCCUGGCAUAUCUUUGCUCCCCCAACCCAGGCCUUUGAAAGCUGGAGAAAAGCUGGAGUGUGCUUGCCCUGUCAGGAACAAUGGCAGAGUUAGUGACCCCUGACCUCAAGGGCUUUGAGAUUUCUUCCUGGAUCAGGAGCUGCCUUUCUCCAUGUUUCCAAGGAUGCCACCCCCACCCUAAGAGGGCUGGUCGUCGAGGUGACCAUAGUGCUGUCCUCUCGCGUGUCCAGAUGCUGAACAUGAGGCUAUAUACAGCAGAAGCAGACCGAGAGCGGCCCGUGAGGGGUCUGUGAGUGGGCAGAAACAUAUGGGCUGAAAGAGAGACCCACUGGGGCUGGCAGCUCCAGAGACCACAGGAGGCUUUGUCUUCGGCCCUGCCCUCCACACCACUUAAUCGUGCAAAACAGCAUUGUACAGUAUUGUCAAGUGCUGCCUGUCUUUAGUGUGUGGACACCCAUGAAAAGAGACCCUCUCUCACUUUCUUUUGCUCAGUAGGUGUUUUAGUGCUUCUCUUUUAACCUAUUCUUUUUCGUCGAAUCACCUCUCUGCUUCCUUUUGGCCUUUUUGUCCAGUUUGAAACGUUCUCUUGACUGAUGACCAGAGAGGAACUAAGCGAACUGAUUUCCAUUUCUGCAUUGUCUUAGCCAUGUGUCUGUAAAUCUGUAGGAUAGUCCUGUACACCAAAAAUCUCAGUCCUGCAGCCUCUUCAUCAGUUAAUAGAUGUUGUCCUCAGGAAUUGUGGUCUGCCAAAGGCCAAAUUCCUACGCUAGGAUGAGAUUUCAUUAGGGCUGGUUAAAAAUAUUGAUUUUUAAUUUGGUUCUAAUGGAAUUAGUAGGUUCAGAGUAGUUUUUGAUUUCUUUUUGUAUCUAUCUAAAUAGCAAUUGAACUUCAUGGUUUGAGCUAUUUUAUUAAAUUUUUAAAAUAUUUUUUUGUAGCCAUUUGGAAGUUUCCAUAAUUUAUUAAAUAUUUUCUAUAAUUUACAGUAAAAUACUGAAUAAAAUUUCUGUAAACUAAUUGGACAUUAUAACUGAAAUUAUAAUUUCAGAAUGAGUCGGAAGCAAGAGUUCACUUUGACAAAGGAACAUAAAAUUAUGGGCACAUUUAAUUAAUUAAUUUUUAAAAAGCCACCAAAAUUCUAAAAUUUAGGAAUGGCUGACACUUUGCUUUCUACUUUUUGGUCUACAUAACAAUGGCGAUAAUUCAGACUUAAAUAUUCAUAAAGAAGCCUUCUUUACACCUGAACUAUUUUAAUUUGCAUUUUAAAUAGACAAAGCACUACACAUCCCAAUCUUGUCAUUAUAUUACUCAGAGGUCAGCUGUUUGGAAAAAAUACAAAUAUUAUAAGGGUACUGAUUUACUGCUGAACGUGAGGUGACCCAUCCCCUUUAAAGCUUCUUGUCUUGUUGGGCCUAUAAAGCUGUCUCUGGCCCUGUGAGGAAUGAAAUACAUUCCCAUUUAAUUGACAGAAAUCCAAAACAGCUGGCUGGCUUCUUUUCACAAUAUGGCAUGUCUGCACACUUUUACUUCUUUAUAGUUCUAUGUCUGGAGUGUCACAGAUGUGACCCUGUUUCCAAUCGUAACCACACUGUUCUUUACACUCUUUUCUUCACAAAUACUUUCCACCCCAUUUCACCUGUCUGUGAC